AGCGAACGCUGGCGGCAGGCCUAACACAUGCAAGUCGAACGAAGUCUUCGGACUUAGUGGCGGACGGGUGAGUAACACGUGGGAACGUGCCUUUAGGUUCGGAAUAACUCAGGGAAACUUGUGCUAAUACCGAAUGUGCCCUUCGGGGGAAAGAUUUAUCGCCUUUAGAGCGGCCCGCGUCUGAUUAGCUAGUUGGUGAGGUAAAGGCUCACCAAGGCGACGAUCAGUAGCUGGUCUGAGAGGAUGAUCAGCCACAUUGGGACUGAGACACGGCCCAACCUCCUACGGGAGGCAGCAGUGGGGAAUCUUGCGCAAUGGGCGAAAGCCUGACGCAGCCAUGCCGCGUGAAUGAUGAAGGUCUUAGGAUUGUAAAAUUCUUUCACCGGGGACGAUAAUGACGGUACCCGGAGAAGAAGCCCCGGCUAACUUCGAGCCAGCCGCCGCGGUAA
rnacentral:rRNA from 1 species